rnacentral:rRNA from 1 species
GACAGAGGGUGCAAACGUUGUUCGGAAUUACUGGGCGUAAAGCGCGUGUAGGCGGCUAUGCAAGUCGGGCGUGAAAUCCCACGGCUCAACCGUGGAAGUGCACUCGAAACUGCGUAGCUAGAGUCCCGGAGAGGAAGGUGGAAUACUUGGUGUAGAGGUGAAAUGCUUAGAUAUCGUCAAGAACACCUAUUGCGAAGGCAGCUAACUAAGCUUUAACUGACGCUGAUGCACGAAAGUGUGGGGAUCAAACAGG